rnacentral:rRNA from 1 species
UAGCUACAGGCUUAACACAUGCAAGUCGAGGGGUAGCAUGGUCUUAGCUUGCUAAGGCCGAUGGCGACCGGCGCACGGGUGAGUAACGCGUAUCCAACCUGCCUUACACUCUUGGACAGCCUUCUGAAAGGGAGAUUAAUACAAGAUGUUAUCAUGAGUAAGCAUUUUCGCAUGAUUAAAGGUUUACCGGUGUAAGAUGGGGAUGCGUUCCAUUAGAUAGUAGGCGGGGUAACGGCCCACCUAGUCUUCGAUGGAUAGGGGUUCUGAGAGGAAGGUCCCCCACAUUGGAACUGAGACACGGUCCAAACUCCUACGGGAGGCAGCAGUGAGGAAUAUUGGUCAAUGGACGAGAGUCUGAACCAGCCAAGUAGCGUGAAGGAUGAAGGUUCUAUGGAUUGUAAACUUCUUUUAUACGGGAAUAAACGGAUCCACGUGUGGAUUUUUGCAUGUACCGUAUGAAUAAGGAUCGGCUAACUCCGUGCCAGCAGCCGCGGUAAUACGGAGGAUCCGAGCGUUAUCCGGAUUUAUUGGGUUUAAAGGGAGCGUAGAUGGGUUGUUAAGUCAGUUGUGAAAGUUUGCGGCUCAACCGUAAAAUUGCAAUUGAUACUGGCAGUCUUGAGUACAGUUGAGGUAGGCGGAAUUCGUGGUGUAGCGGUGAAAUGCUUAGAUAUCACGAAGAACUCCGAUUGCGAAGGCAGCUUACUAACCUGUAACUGACAUUGAUGCUCGAAAGUGUGGGUAUCAAACAGGAUUAGAUACCCUGGUAGUCCACACGGUAAACGAUGAAUACUCGCUGUAGGCGAUAUACAGUCUGCGGCCAAGCGAAAGCAUUAAGUAUUCCACCUGGGGAGUACGCCGGCAACGGUGAAACUCAAAGGAAUUGACGGGGGCCCGCACAAGCGGAGGAACAUGUGGUUUAAUUCGAUGAUACGCGAGGAACCUUACCCGGGCUUAAAUUGCAACCGAAUAUGGCGGAAACGCUAUAGCUAGCAAUAGCGGUUGUGAAGGUGCUGCAUGGUUGUCGUCAGCUCGUGCCGUGAGGUGUCGGCUUAAGUGCCAUAACGAGCGCAACCCUUGCCGAUAGUUACUAACAGGUUAUGCUGAGGACUCUGUCGGGACUGCCAUCGUAAGAUGUGAGGAAGGUGGGGAUGACGUCAAAUCAGCACGGCCCUUACGUCCGGGGCUACACACGUGUUACAAUGGGGGGUACAGAGGGCUGCUACCACGCAAGUGGAUGCCAAUCCCAAAAACCUCUCUCAGUUCGGAUUGAAGUCUGCAACCCGACUUCAUGAAGCUGGAUUCGCUAGUAAUCGCGCAUCAGCCACGGCGCGGUGAAUACGUUCCCGGGCCUUGUACACACCGCCCGUCAAGCCAUGGGAGCCGGGGGUACCUGAAGUGCGUAACCGCAAGGAGCGCCCUAGGGUAAAACUGA